UACAGAGGGGGCAAGCGUUGUUCGGAAUUACUGGGCGUAAAGGGCGCGUAGGCGGCCCACUAAGUCGAACGUGAAAUCCCCGGGCUCAACCCGGGAACUGCGUCCGAGACUGGAGGGCUCGAAUCCGGGAGAGGGAUGUGGAAUUCCAGGUGUAGCGGUGAAAUGCGUAGAUAUCUGGAGGAACAUCGGUGGCGAAGGCGGCAUCCUGGACCGGCAUUGACGCUGAGGCGCGAAAGCCAGGGGAGCAAACGGG
rnacentral:rRNA from 1 species